rnacentral:siRNA from 1 species
GGGAUAAUGCUUACGAAAGG